rnacentral:rRNA from 1 species
AACGAACGCUGGCGGCAUGCCUAACACAUGCAAGUCGAACGAGACCUUCGGGUCUAGUGGCGCACGGGUGCGUAACGCGUGGGAACCUGCCUUUAGGUUCGGAAUAACUCAGAGAAAUUUGAGCUAAUACCGGAUGAUGUCUUCGGACCAAAGAUUUAUCGCCUUUAGAUGGGCCCGCGUUGGAUUAGCUAGUUGGUGGGGUAAAGGCCUACCAAGGCGACGAUCCAUAGCUGGUCUGAGAGGAUGAUCAGCCACACUGGGACUGAGACACGGCCCAGACUCCUACGGGAGGCAGCAGGGGGGAAUAUUGGAAAAUGGGCGAAAGCCUGAUCCAGCCAUGCCGCGUGAGUGAUGAAGGCCUUAGGGUUGGAAAGCCCUUUUACCCGAGAUGAUAAUGACAGUAUCGGGAGAAUAAGCGCCGGCUAACUCCGUG